rnacentral:misc_RNA from 1 species
GGUGUGAUGAACUGCUUCGCAUACUGAUGAACUCUUGAUCCUGAACCUGACCGAUGGUCGUAGUACUCCACCAGUGCAGAGCCAGCCAAUGCAGCCAGUGUGAGGGCCUGAGCAUGCAACCUGGCGUGGAUGAUCUUGACGCUGGUCUUCAUGCCGGGCCUCGACCAGUUGUACGCGAUCGAGCUCGCCACCCCAGUCAGCCACAGCGUCCCGACGGCCCGGAGCUUGUGGUCGACGACCCACUCCCUCAUCG